UAAGUUUGAUGAAGAUCGUCACACUCACAAUCCUGAUAAUUCUACUCGUCAUGCUCCGAGCAAUCUAUCGCAAAUGAGAGAAUCCAAAUAAACAACCAUGCCAUAUAGAAAAAUUAAAAGAACAAGAAAACAAAUAUGUCAAGGUUAUUUAGCAACAACAAAAAAAAUAGGUUUAAAUAUAUAUAACAUAUGGUCUCUGGUACCAAAAUGUGACAAGGUGAAGGAAUGAACUCAAAAGAUACUGGAUGAUGAACGGUUGUUAUAUAGGAUUAUAUUGGAUAUAUUAUGGAACAAGGUCAAAAGUAUAUGGAGUAGAACAUCCAAAUGGUGUAAUGAUUGCAUAUGUCAUAGGAAUUCACUAGCAAAAAUGAUAGGUUGAAUAGGAGUAUUAUAACGCAAGUCAUUACGAAAUGAAGUGUGGAUUGAAUUUGAAUUCAAAAGAGAUGGAAAAUAUUUGAAUAUUGAGUGUACAAGAUAUGAUCGGCAAGUAUUUGGUACAUGUGUUCAUAGGCAAAAGGAAUUAAUUGGAAAGGUGUCACGGUUCACCCGAUAUGAUCAAAUGAAGGUAUGGAUUCAAAUUUGAAUUGGUGAAAUUUGAAAUGUUCAAAAGUUGAAACUUAUGAGUUAAGUGAAAAGAGGGCUCUGGUACGAAACCAAUGCAAUUGGAUUUACCGAAACGGAGCUAUCGUUUAAAAGUUAUGAUGAAUUGAAUUCCAGGGGCCUAUAAGUGCAGAACCAAAUCAGCUAAACAGAAAUUAAAUCAGAAUUCUCUGCCACGUGGCGGCCUAUGAGUGGUUGAUACCGGUUCAUUGCAGAAUUAGACAGAGGCCGUUAGAUCUUAUGAAUCACGGACGGCCAGGAUCAAGCCAUGUGGCUAGGUUUUUUUAUGUGUGUUUGGGAGUUCCUCAUAGGAACAGAGGAAAUGGCGAUGGCCCUGAUCGGCGAUGGCGUUUCUCCUAGUGGCCGCAGGAGAUCAGUGAAGAUGCUGGAAGAAGAGGAGGUUCAUGGGGAGUCCUUUGGUGUCCUCAGGGAGUCCCGGUAUGCUCUGGCGAGAUUCGUUUUGCUGGGGAGCUCGAUUUGGUGCGGUCCUGGGAAAAACCAAAGGGGGAAUAGGUGCAUGCGGUCUCUGUUAAUACAUAGAAAGUCUCGGCAAGGAACGAGGCUUACCGAGGCGGGAGAAUUUCACGUCGGCGCUGCUUAGGAUGGCGGAGCUCACCGGGGUCGCUGCACUCAAUUUCGAGCUCUGUCCCGCGAGGCGAGGCAGCGAAUCGGAAGAGGAGAGCUUGGGGGUCCCGAGGUGGUGCAGACGCAUGAGAACCACGUGGGGAUCGGAGAGAUCGGGCGCGGCUGUGAGAUACGCACGGAGCGGUGGCGUACGCGAGCAGGAGAUCGGAUAGAGGUAGGAGAUGGUGAGUGGUGC
rnacentral:lncRNA from 1 species